GUGAGUCAUCGAAUCUUUGAACGCACAUUGCGCCCCGUGGUAUUCUGCGGGGCAUGCCUGUCCGAGCGUCAUUCUACUCCCUCGAGCCACCUGCUCGGUAUUGGACUAGGCCGCCGUAGCCAGUCCUAAAGCUAGUGGCGGUGCCACCGUGACUCUGAGCGUAGUUAUGUUCUGCCGCUCUAGCGUCUGGUGGUAGCUUGCCAGCAGUCUCUCUAGCUUGACCUCGGAUCAGGUAGGGCUACCCGCUGAACUUAAGCAUAUCAAUAAGCGGAGGA
rnacentral:misc_RNA from 1 species